GGCCCCGUAGCUCAGCAGGAUAGAGCGGCAGAUUCCUAAUCUGUAGGUCGGGGGUUCGAAUCCCUCCGGGGUCGCCA
rnacentral:tRNA from 1 species